CACAUUUUCCAUAUCCCAUCUCUUUCUUGCACAAUUUGCACAUGAAAACAUUUGCUUAAAAAUCUAACUGGGGAGACAGAGAGAGAAAAAUUAUUUAAUAUCCAAAUUAUGCCUGUGCAAUUUUGUUAUGUGACUGUCUUCUCUAAUCUAUCACAUGAUUUUUGAAAAAGGAAGUUGUGUCUGGUCUUAAUAUGAGACCAUGAUCAAUUUAUGGACUGUAGGUAUUGAUUUCUGUAGAUACAAAUGUGCACACAGUUCUCAAACAUGGUGAUGAAAUUCAUUAAUUUACUUUCUGUUAUUUGUAUCACCAAAUACUUUCUAACAACCAUCCAAUUUUUGCCGCCUCUCUGAUUUAUUAUAUUCAGUACAAAAGAUUAUAAAUGGGACUGUUACCUGGAUUAGAAAUCUUCCUUAAAACUGAUCAUUCAAUGUUCUAAAUACUUAUUGUUUUGACAUAUGUCUUGGAGACUGCAUAUAACAGAUAUACACAGUAUUUAAAAAUAAGUGUGACUUCAGACCACAAAGACUUCCUACUGAAUGACUUAACUUUGGGUAUGAUAGUGAAAACCCUGCCCUAACAUUGCAGUCGCUGCAGCUUCUGAAGCUGGAAUUCAUUACACUGCAAGGGGAUUGGCCAGUUCUCACUCCUAAGAAUAUCCCUGGGAAAGAUGAACUCUGCUAUGUAAAAAGGAAAUUAAGAGACAGUUUGCCUGGUAAAAAAGACACGCUAGUUAUAGCACUGUCAAAAUAAGUGCAGUAUUUCCUAUGAGAGAUGUCAAACAUUUCAUCUUCCAAAAGAGUAUACUGUGCAAAAAUGCUAAGCAAGAUGGUGGAGAGAUUGUAGUCAAACUAUCCACAUCCUUUUGAUGAACAGGUUAUUUUCAUUGGUGCACCUGGACAAGAGGCAAUGGGCAAAAACUGGAGCAUAGGAGGUUCCAUCCAUUCAGCAGGAAAUACUUUACUGUUCAGGUGAUUGAGCACUGGCCCAGGUUGCCCAAAGAGGUUGUGGUGUCUCUUUCCUCACAGACCUUCAAAGCUGUCUGGACACGGUCCUGGGUAAUCUGCUCCAGUUGUGCAGUGGGUUUACGUGGCAAGGUUUUGGUAGCAGGGGGCCAUAGGGGUGGCUUCUGUGAGAAGGAUCUAGAAGCUGCCCCAUGUUUGGUAAGGGCCCUACUGCUGACCAGAGCUGAGCCAA